GAUGAAGCACGUAGCGAAAUGCGAUAAGUAGUGUGAAUUGCAGAAUUCAGUGAAUCAUCGAAUCUUUGAACGCACAUUGCGCCCUUUGGUAUUCCUUAGGGCAUGCCUGUUCGAGCGUCAUCUAAACCUUCAAGCCCUGCUUGGUGUUGGGUGCCUGUCCCGCCUCCGCGCGUGGACUCACCUCAAAUCCAUUGGCGGCCCCCGCGUCGGCCACGAGCGCAGCAGAAACGCGAACUCGUGAGCCCGUCCGGGCGGCUCCCAGAAGCUAACCCCCAAUUUUUGACCUCGGAUCAGGUAGGGAUACCCGCUGAACUUAAGCAUAUCAAUAAGCGGAGGA
rnacentral:misc_RNA from 1 species